AAUCGUCCGUUCUACGUGUGUAGUGAGAAUGGGGUGGCAUGCUUCUUUUUUUGGGUCGAUGCUCUGGCCAAGACUCUGAUAAAUGAACUGCAAGAAGAGCAUGACGAAUGGUUGCGCAUGCUUCCCCAAUACGCAGUGGCCGCAGCAUGAGCUCCGGAAGAAGAGAUGGAGGGCGAAGCACGCAAUGACAGAGAGCUAGCUGUUGAGCUUAGGAUGUUGAAGAAGAAGGUUAGGAAGCUUGAAGAUCAAGCACUACCAAUACCCAUUUGCAAAUACUUUUGGGCAUUUGUAGGUAUGGUAAUCGCACUGGUUGUAAUGUUUAAAAUGUAUGGAAAGGCAUGA
rnacentral:rRNA from 1 species